AGAGUUUGAUCAUGGCUCAGAUUGAACGCUGGCGGCAUGCCUUACACAUGCAAGUCGAACGGCAGCGCGGGGCAACCUGGCGGCGAGUGGCGAACGGGUGAGUAAUAUAUCGGAACGUACCCUGGAGUGGGGGAUAACGUAGCGAAAGUUACGCUAAUACCGCAUACGAUCUCAGGAUGAAAGCAGGGGACCGCAAGGCCUUGUGCUCCUGGAGCGGCCGAUAUCUGAUUAGCUAGUUGGUGGGGUAAAGGCCUACCAAGGCAUCGAUCAGUAGCUGGUCUGAGAGGACGACCAGCCACACUGGAACUGAGACACGGUCCAGACUCCUACGGGAGGCAGCAGUGGGGAAUUUUGGACAAUGGGCGCAAGCCUGAUCCAGCAAUGCCGCGUGAGUGAAGAAGGCCUUCGGGUUGUAAAGCUCUUUUGUCAGGGAAGAAACGGUGCGGGCUAAUAUCCUGUGCUAAUGACGGUACCUGAAGAAUAAGCACCGGCUAACUACGUGCCAGCAGCCGCGGUAAUACGUAGGGUGCAAGCGUUAAUCGGAAUUACUGGGCGUAAAGCGUGCGCAGGCGGUUUUGUAAGUCUGACGUGAAAUCCCCGGGCUCAACCUGGGAAUUGCGUUGGAGACUGCAAGGCUAGAAUCUGGCAGAGGGGGGUAGAAUUCCACGUAGCAGUGAAAUGCGUAGAGAUGUGGAGGAACACCGAUGGCGAAGGCAGCCCCCUGGGUCAAGAUUGACGCUCAUGCACGAAAGCGUGGGGAGCAAACAGGAUUAGAUACCCUAGUAGUCC
rnacentral:rRNA from 1 species